rnacentral:rRNA from 1 species
GCCCGGGGCGCAGCAGUAGGGAAUUCUCGUCAAUGGGCGCAAGCCUGAACGAGCAAUGCCGCGUGAACGAGGAAGGUCUUCGGAUCGUAAAGUUCUGUUGAAGGGGAAAAAGAGCGGAGAGAGGAAAUGGUCUCCGAUUGAUAUUACCCUUCGAGGAAGUCACGGCUAACUACGUGCCAGCAGCCGCGGUAAUACGUAGGUGGCGAGCGUUAUCCGGAAUGAUUGGGCGUAAAGGGUGCGUAGGCGGCCUGCUAAGUCUGGAGUGAAAGGUACCGGCUCAACCGGUAUAGGCUCUGGAAACUGGG